UUGUGAGGUAGAGGCGCGAUAUUUAUUAGUAAGUAGCGGAGUACGAGAAUACAAAGAUGCUACUUAGAAGGAGAUGUCGCCGAAGUGUAUGGUGGGUUCUCAACAUCAUAUGCUGGGUCUGCAAUUAAUAGUUGCAGGACUGUCUUACUUUUUUUACCCGAAUAAAGUAAGUUGAGCUAUCUCAAUU
rnacentral:ncRNA from 2 species